UAACUCAGUUCGGAUUGUAGGCUGCCACUCGCUGCAGAAGUGAAUCGCUAGUAUCGCAAUCACCAUGUGCGGGAAACGUCCCGGUUCUGUACUCCCGCCCGCACACCAUGGAGUGUGUUGCCUUAAGUCAGAUGCUAAAUUGGCUACUGCCCACGGCCCACACAGCGACUGGGGGAAGUCGUAACAAGGUAACCGUAGGUGAACCUGCGGUGGAUCACCUCCU
rnacentral:rRNA from 1 species